CCAGAGCCAUUUUCACUCGGUCACUCGUUGAAAACUAGGCUCUGAUUAGAUGACUAAAGGGAAAGAUCUGAUUGGCUUCUCAGAGAACUGCUAUUUCCCAGAAGUUGAGCAGUUUUGCUAGCCAAAAUUAUUCUACAUCCUCUCCUCGUUCCCAGGGCCUUACGGUCGCGCGCGACCUUCAUAGGCCCUGGGAUGCGGAAGAAGUUAUUUGACUGAGAAUCUCAGAAUGACAUUUUUCUCCAAGAUUGAUUUAGAAACAGAGUAGGAGUAGGAGUAGGUUAGGGUUAGGGCAAGGAUUAGUGUUUGGAACAAAGUUAGUGUUAGUAAAACCGUUGCUUUGUUAGGUUUUGUCACUCUGAGGCCAGCGAAAUAACCUCUUCCCUGGGAUACACGGAACUGGAAGUGCAAGAAAACGUGCAGUAGUGUCUAAAGCGCAUGCUCUUGAAUUGGGACGCUUCAGCACCCUAACAAUUUUUACAGACAAGUAUUACGAAGAAACGAAGUAUUUGUGUUGACAUAUUUUGAUAGCCCUCUGCGAAAUAUCAGUUCUCUGAGAAGCCAAUCAGACCUCUCCCUUUAGUCGUCUAACCCAGAGCCCAAUUUUCAACGAGUGACUGUAUAGCCCCUGCCAGAUGGGCCCCUGCCAGAGGGGCUAUACAGUUGUAUUUCGCAGCAGCUCCUGGUUAGGUGUAAAAUUGUAUAUAAUACACCUUUUCGAUAAUUACG